UACGUAGGGUGCGAGCGUUGUUCGGAAUUACUGGGCGUAAAGCGCACGUAGGCGGACAUUUAAGUCAGGGGUGAAAUCCCGGGGCUCAACCCCGGAACUGCCUUUGAUACUGGGUAUCUCGAGUAUGGAAGAGGUAAGUGGAAUUCCGAGUGUAGAGGUGAAAUCCGUAGAUAUUCGGAGGAACACCAGUGGCGAAGGCGGCUUACUGGUCCAUUACUGACGCUGAGGUGCGAAAGCGUGGGGAGCAAACAGG
rnacentral:rRNA from 1 species